AGGGCGAUGAGAUCCUCGAGAGAGGAGGGCUCGUCCCGGACCUCUAGCUCAUCCUUGAGUUGGUCGGAAAGGGCAUUUAAAAAAAAAUCCCCCACCCGUAUUCACCUGCCAAUAUCCGGAACUCAAUGGAAUAUUCCGCUGCUGAUUUAGCGCCCUGCGUGAGCGUGAGGAGGCGACGGCUGGCGUCUUUGCCCUCAACUGGGUGAUCAAAUACUUUGCGGAGUUCGGCGGAAAAAGAAUCGCAUGAAUGAAGUACCGGAGAGGAGUUUUGCCAUAAUGAAGUGGACCAUUUUGCUGCUUUGCCGCAGAGGAGGGUUGACGUGUUGGAGUCAAGCAGCUGCAUCUUAUCAUCCUAAUUACACCUGACUACUCUUAAGACACUGUGGGACUCCAACUCAUCACCAGACUAUCAACGCUCUAUUCUGCAGUCUUCCCUUGGUCCCCGCAAACCAGUGCUCACCUCUUGUGGUCCACCGACAACCCAGACUCAUACCCUGCCAGACUGGUCCUCCUUGGAACCCUGCUAAUUCCGGAUCUAGUUCUCGGAGCCCAUUUUGUUUGCUUCCAAUUUACAAUAAACAUUUGGUCACGAACUACCCUCCCUCUCCUCUCUGCAUCUGGGUCCAACUCGCAACCUGAAUCCUGACAGGAGUACCCAAACAAAAUCGAACCAAGCACAGAGACAACAUACAAACUGAUUGACAUUUGUCUUGUAAAAUUUCGAGUCAAUAUCAAUAGAGAGGUUUCAGUUCACGUCAGACUGUGCCUUCUCUCUCUAGGAUCUACUGUAAAACAGAUCCAUUUUGCCUUGAACAUAAUAGGAGUGACAGUAGCUUCGUGUGAAUCACUGAACAAAUAUUUUGUUGUAUAACCAUUGUUUCUGAGAACUGCUUGACCAACUUCUGGCA